AACGCUAGCUACAGGCUUAACACAUGCAAGUCGCGGGGUAACAUCUGGUAGAGCUUGCUCUUCCAGGAUGACGACCGGCGCACGGGUGAGUAACGCGUAUCCAACCUGGCCCAUACCACGGGAUAGCCCGUCGAAAGGCGGAUUAAUACCGUAUGCUGUCAUUAAGAUGCAUAUAUUGAUGACGAAAGGAUUGGCGGUAUGGGAUGGGGAUGCGUCUGAUUAGCUUGUUGGCGGGGUAACGGCCCACCAAGGCGACGAUCAGUAGGGGUUCUGAGAGGAAGGUCCCCCACAUUGGAACUGAGACACGGUCCAAACUCCUACGGGAGGCAGCAGUGAGGAAUAUUGGUCAAUGGGCGCAAGCCUGAACCAGCCAAGUAGCGUGAGGGAAGACUGCCCUACGGGUUGUAAACCUCUUUUGUUUGGGAAUAAAGUGCGGGACGUGUCCCGCAUUGCAUGUACCAUUUGAAUAAGGACCGGCUAAUUCCGUGCCAGCAGCCGCGGUAAUACGGAAGGUCCGGGCGUUAUCCGGAUUUAUUGGGUUUAAAGGGAGCGCAGGCCGUGGGUUAAGCGUGUCGUGAAAUUCCGUCGCUCAACGGCGGACGUGCGGCGCGAACUGGUCCACUUGAGUACGCGGGACGUUGGCGGAAUUCGUGGUGUAGCGGUGAAAUGCUUAGAUAUCACGAAGAACUCCGAUUG
rnacentral:rRNA from 2 species